UGCGCAGGCGGUUCUGCAAGUCGGAUGUGAAAUCCCCGGGCUCAACCUGGGAACUGCAUUCGAAACUGGCAGGCUAGAGUCUUGUAGAGGGGGGUAGAAUUCCAGGUGUAGCGGUGAAAUGCGUAGAGAUCUGGAGGAAUACCGGUGGCGAAGGCGGCCCCCUGGACAAAGACUGACGCUCAGGUGCGAAAGCGUGGGGAGCAAACAGGAUUAGAUACCCUGGUAGUCCACGCCGUAAACGAUGUCGAUUUGGAGGUUGUGCCCUUGAGGCGUGGCUUCCGGAGCUAACGCGUUAAAUCGACCGCCUGGGGAGUACGGCCGCAAGGUUAAAACUCAAAUGAAUUGACGGGGGCCCGCACAAGCGGUGGAGCAUGUGGUUUAAUUCGAUGCAACGCGAAGAACCUUACCUGGUCUUGACAUCCACAGAACUUGCCAGAGAUGGCUUGGUGCCUUCGGGAACUGUGAGACAGGUGCUGCAUGGCUGUCGUCAGCUCGUGUUGUGAAAUGUUGGGUUAAGUCCCGCAACGAGCGCAACCCUU
rnacentral:rRNA from 1 species